GACGAACGCUGGCGGCGUGCUUAACACAUGCAAGUCGAACGGGUCUGCCCUGUUUUUUGCGGGGUGGGUCAGUGGCGAACGGGUGAGUAACACGUGAGUAACCUGCCCCUCACUUCUGGAUAACCGCUUGAAAGGGUGGCUAAUACGGGGUGUUCUGGCUGUGCCGCAUGGUGUGGCUGGGAAAGAUUCACUUUUGUGGUGUUUUGGUGGGGGAUGGGCUCGCGGCCUAUCAGCUUGUUGGUGGGGUGAUGGCCUGCCAAGGCUUUGACGGGUAGCCGGCCUGAGAGGGUGGGCGGUCACACUGGGACUGAGAUACGGCCCAGACUCCUGCGGGAGGCAGCAGUGGGGGGUAUUGCACAAUGGGCGGAAGCCUGAUGCAGCGGCGUCGCGUGAGGGAUGGAGGCCUUCGGGUUGUGAACCUCUUUCGCCGGUGAAGAAGGUCCUGCUCUUUGGGGUGGGGUUGACGGUAGCCGGGUUAUGAAGCGCCGGCUAACUACGUG
rnacentral:rRNA from 1 species